GGAGUCUAACGUCUAUGCGAGUGUUUGGGUGUCAAGCCCGAGCGCGUAAUGAAAGUGAACGGAGGUGGGAACCCGCAAGGGUGCACCAUCGACCGAUCCUGAUGUCUUCGGAAGGAUUUGAGUAUGAGCAUGGCUGUUGGGACCCGAAAGAUGGUGGACUAUGCUUGAAUAGGGUGAAGCCAGAGGAAACUCUGGUGGAGGCUCGCGGCGGUUCUGACGUGCAAAUCGAUCGUCAAAGUUGGGCAUAGGGGCGUAAGACUAAUAGAACAAUCUAGUAGCUGGUUCCUGC
rnacentral:misc_RNA from 1 species